GUCCGAGAUAGGCCUACAGCUAUUUGAAAAUCUGCAAUCCGAGGUUGCAAAAAAAUCAAAAUAUUGAGAAAAUCGCCUUUAAAGUUGUCCAAAUUAAGUUUUUAAUAAUACUAGUGAUUCUAACCGACAGCGUUUGAACGAUAUACUGUUACUAUGGUUACCUUAGUGAGCGUAGCUUCUCGCAAGAGUCUAUUUGCACUUUAACUUAAAUUUAUAAAUAGCUAACGAUAGGCUACUUAAGAUUUGUCUGUGUAGGCUACAGUGCGAAUAAAAGAUACUUCAAAAAAAGCGUUAGCGGCUUAUUAACUUGUUAACUGAACUUUUAUAGUAGGACGUUCGAAAACGCAUUAACCUAUAUUCUACACUAUAUAGUAGGUAUUUUAAGAUUAACAUUAACAUUUUUGUCUGUUUUAUUGAUAUCAUUUUACGGUUAACACUAUUUCUAUUAAUAUAUUUUUAAAGUAACUGAUUUACAGAAGGGUUUUUGACAAGUUCCAGAUAAACAAAUGGAAGAGGAAAGUGAUUAUGUAAAGUUAGCAUAUUAAUUUGUAUUUUGCAUAGUCAUUUCAAGAGGGGUUUCCACCCCACCAGUGGAUUGCGCAGAGGUGCACCAUCUCUCUCGUCUGUCUGAAGGAGUAUUUCUGCUGUAGGUGGUGGUAUUCAAUUCACUACGCUUCCAGCAGAUGCUGAGUUCAUUCUCCAGUGGAAAAAUGGAGCUGGAUAACAUCACCGGAGAUCACAUUGAGCUUUACGCGCUGACAAAACACCUCAUCUGAGCAAAUACAGUCAGUUUUCAUGUAUACGUAUUUUAAAUGCUGUGAAACCGUUCAACAUGUGGAUUAAAAUACUAUGGAUAUUUGUUCAAGUUUUGCUUGACACUUCAGUCGAAGCACAGCAUGUGGACCCUGAAGUGGGCUUAACAGCUCAGGAACAAGUUCUCCUGCUGUACGACAUCAAACUGCAGUGCCUUCAGAACAUCUCCGAACACAAUCCUGCUGGUAAGACCUCACCUGUGGAUUCUGUUUGGUCCUCUGAACCUUUUUCUCUCAAGUCUAAUGAGAUGGUCAGUGGGAGCCGAGAGGAUAGAUCAUCUGCAUAACUGAUAGAAAUAUAUCAAGAUGAAAGUCACUCACACUAAAACACAUUUAUGUCAUUAGUUCAUUAGUUUAAAAGCCUAUUACAUGUGAAUUCACAUCUGACGCAUAAUCCGCGGAACAGAAUGUGACAUUAGAAUCUGCUUAGAGGACUUCUGUCAAAAUCUGCCACCAGAGAGAUCCAAGAUCCGUUUUAAACUGAAGAAUCUCAGAUGUUUCGUUGGUUCAUGUGGUUUCUGAGCUUGAAUCUGUCUUGGUCCUGUCCAAGUGUCUUCGGUCUCUCUGCUUUGAAGCUUUAUUUAGAUACUGAGUUACCUUACAGUCAUAUAACGUCUAUAUCUGCCUACUCAUAUAAGCAUCUGAGCUCAGCAGUGGAGUCCAAAUGAUGGCACUAGUGAAAAUGUGUCUGCUUUGCAUUUAAUUUGAUGCAGAUUCAAGGAUAUCGAUCUCAGCUGUGAUGGAUUUGUCGCUUUUCAAGUUGGCGUCGUUGAAUUAUAACAACACCCGCAGGCUCUUCUGUUUGAUCCAGUUUGAUUGAUUUUUUACAGUAAAUGACAUAAAGGUGACAAUUUUCCAGCUUAAAUGCAAGCUGGGAGCAUGAUGUUAAGAAGCUGGAUUUGUAACCAGUAGGUUGUGGGUUUGAAUCCCAACAGGAUUCUUCAUGCGUCAUCACUGCUGAGCAAGAAUACACUGGUGUAGGUUUACUUUGAAACAUUUUUCACUCAGAAGUUGCUAAUAAAUUUCAUAAAUCAUUACA
ensembl:lncRNA